UACGUAGGGUGCGAGCGUGUCCGGAAUUAUUGGGCGUAAAGGGCUCGUAGGCGGUCUGUCACGUCGGGAGUGAAAACACGGGGCUUAACCCCGUGCCUGCUUCCGAUACGGGCAGACUAGAGGUAUGCAGGGGAGAACGGAAUUCCCGGUGUAGCGGUGAAAUGCGCAGAUAUCGGGAAGAACACCCGUGGCUAAGGCGGCUCUCUAGUACGGUACUGACGCUGAGACGCGAAAGCGUGGGGAGCAAACAGG
rnacentral:rRNA from 1 species